AUAUCGGGGGUGCACUGGCACAGAGGAAAGGCCAUGUGAAGCAAGAAGGCAGCCAUCUGCAAGCCAAGGAGAGAAAUUUCAGAAGGAACCAACCCUACCGACAUCUUGAUCUUGGACUUUAAGCUGCCAGAACUAUAGCUUCACACAUAAGGAACCACCUUAGCAUCCUUCACUCAAUGCUGAAAGUGAGCAUCUGGUCUGCCUUUGGGCCAAUGCUAAAUCUCUUCAACAGCAUCCUUUACCGAAGCAACAUUGUCCCAGAAUCUGCUGAAGCAGCAAGAAAAGAGGUCAGCAGUAGGACCAAGCUGCAUAUCUUCUUAGGCAGGAGGGCAUCACUAUUGAGGCCAAAUGGACACUCACUAGCAAGGUGGCUGGAAACAACUGUUCUAGAAAGAACCCAAGGAAAAAUUUCCAGGAGGAACCCAAACAGAAAAAUCUAUUUUAUACAUUUUCUACAGAAAAUGCACCCCAUCAUUGCUUAUAGCCCACCCACGUGGACUGCUCAUUCUGUGAAUCAUGUUUUACAGGUGAGUUUUGGCUACUGAAAGCUUGGAGUCAAACCUGUAUGCCUCUUCCUUUGUCUGCCAAUAUAUUUUGUAUAUUAGGCCUCGGCCCUGGCUCCAAUUUAGAUUACCAUUUUUUUCCCCUACUUUGUCCCUCUCUUUGACCUUUUAACUUACUUCUAUUCUUUGUGUGCAGAACUUUGUAAGCCCUGUUAGAUCCUUACUGCAGCAAUGUACAUAAGCAAUGUAAUAAACAGGAUGAUAUUCAAUGCCCAUAUCAAAUCAUCCUGUGUGUGUAGAAUCACAAGUGCAUUUCAUUCUAGACACAAGACAUAAUUUUGCACAUUUCAAAAUGCAGUAAACGAUUCCUAGAAUGCUAUUUUAGAAGCUUUCCUUAGGAAACAGCACCACGUGGCAUAACUCACCUACCCCAGUAGUGUGAUCUCCCUUUGGUCCUGUGUAGGAAGUGGGAGUUUCUCCCCUCCUCCUGUGCCAGCUGCUCCGGUUUCUUUUCUCCUGAGUAAAUGUACAUUCAUCUUGCUCGAAAGUACACUCUCCAGGUGGAGGUGGAAGUUUCUCUGCAAGAAAAUAGCAGAUGUUGCAAUCACUGAGACUCUUUCAAUGACUCUGUGUUGCUAGCAGCCCACUCUGCAUGUAUGAAUGUUGUCUGGCCAUAUGCCAUGCGAUGGAGAGGCAGCCCCCACUGGUGGCCCACCUACACGGAGCCACUGCUUCCAGCUAGAGGCUGCAUUCCACUGAGGGUCCUGCCACAGACAUAGAGAACAAUCAGAUAUACAGAUCUAAAAUACUGGGCUACUUUGAGAAAAAAACUUUCUCUGACUUGUGAAUUUUUGUGAAUUUCUUUUUAUAAAGCUCUGGAAAUUAUAGGUAUAUUGCCUUUAUGAAAAUAUGGAAAAUAAUAAAAUUUCAUAAUGCAGGCACUUUCUUCAGAAAUCCUGGAUGAGUGAAGGGUAUCCUCAUAACAACUCCACAGUUGCUUUGUAGGUGGGGGAGAAUGUGAGAGUGCUAAAUGGACUCCUGGAGGCAUAGCUGUGUGGAACAAAUGACUUCACUUCUCUGUGCCUUAGAGUUCUUAUCUCUAAUGUGGGAAUAUUGAUGGUAGUCACUUCAUGGGUCUGUGAGGAUUAAAUGAGAUGGUAUAUGUAAAGUGAUCAUUUUUAAUGUGAAGUUCUCAAUAAUUAAAUUUUAGAACUUAUUUUGCCACCCAGAGGUUUAUUUUCCUUUUCCCAAAUCCAAUGUUUAUGUCUUUGAAUGCUAUCUUCAAUAACAUUCAUAAUUAUUAGAAUGGUACUUCUUCCCAAUUUAUUGGGGACUUUUCCUUUGACUAAACUUGGUUGUACCUCCCUAUAUCCAGAUUCUUAGCUACAUUUUUGUAAUAAAUAGCUUGUUUCAUA
rnacentral:antisense_RNA from 1 species